AGUGAACGCUGGCGGUAGGCCUAACACAUGCAAGUCGAACGGCAGCACAGGAGAGCUUGCUCUCUGGGUGGCGAGUGGCGGACGGGUGGGGAAUACAUCGGAAUCUACUCUGUCGUGGGGGAUAACGUAGGGAAACUUACGCUAAUACCGCAUACGACCUACGGGUGAAAGCAGGGGACCUUCGGGCCUUGCGCGAUUGAAUGAGCCGAUGUCGGAUUAGCUAGUUAGCGGGGUAAAGGCCCACCAAGGCGACGAUCCGUAGCCGGUCUGAGAGGAUGAUCAGCCACACUGGAACUGAGACACGGUCCAGACUCCUACGGGAGGCAGCAGUGGGGAAUAUUGGACAAUGGGCGCAAGCCUGAUCCAGCCAUACCGCGUGGGUGAAGAAGGCCUUCGGGUUGUAAAGCCCUUUUGUUGGGAAAGAAAUCCAGCUGGCUAAUACCCGGUUGGGAUGACGGUACCCAAAGAAUAAGCACCGGCUAACUUCGUGCCAGCCGCCGCCGUAA
rnacentral:rRNA from 1 species